rnacentral:rRNA from 1 species
UAGGGAAUUUUCCGCAAUGGGCGAAAGCCUGACGGAGCAACGCCGCGUGAGUGAGGACGGCCUUCGGGUUGUAAAAACUCUGUUCUUGAGGAAGAAUUCCUUCCAGGCGAACAGCCUGGAAGGUUGACGGUACUCAAGGAGAAAGCCCCGGCUAACUUCGUGCCAGCAGCCGCGGUAAUACGAAAGGGUGCAAGCGUUAAUCGGAAUUACUGGGCGUAAAGCGCGCGUAGGUGGUUUGUUAAGUUGGAUGUGAAAGCCCCGGGCUCAACCUGGGAACUGCAUCCAAAAACUGGCAAGCUAGAGUAUGGCAGAGGGUGGUGGAAUUUCCUGUGUAGCGGUGAAAUGCGUAGAUAUAGGAAGGAACACCAGUGGCGAAGGCGACCACCUGGGCUAAUACUGACACUGAGGUGCGAAAGCGUGGGGAGCAAACAGGAUUAGAUACCC